CGAACCGGGUCCCCCAAAACGACGCCGUUUUGGCAUCUGGGGGGGCCAAAUCGAAACGGCGUCUUUUCGCUUUCAUUACUUAAACCCCCCAAAUUUUUUUUACUUUCAUUUGCACCCCUUUUCACCCAAAAAAAUCUAAAAAAUGCUCUCAACCUCCCAUUUUCUCAACACACACAUCCGGCCAAGACUCCGGCGAGCACUCGCGGCAGCUCCGCCGCGUCUCCGCCGUAACGUCGCCAUACCGGAAAGCCAAAAGCGACCAAAACCCAAGUUUUUAAAAGAUCUCCUUUUUAAAACAAAAUAAACUCGAUUUGGGUGUUUUUAAACUAGAAAAUGAAGAGAGAAAAUAGAAAAGGGCCUUUCGGCUUCACUGCUUCCCUUCUCGGCGAAGCCCCGAGUGAAACCCUAGGGGUUUCCACGACUCGGCCGAACGGAUGGAGGCCUCCGACGGUGGCGCACCGCGAGGGACAGGUGUCAGACGAGGCCGACGGUGGUAGCAGAAGGCAUGCGCGAGGGGGCAUUGGACAAAAGCGGCGGCUAGCUUGAGGCAUGUUGACAAAAGAAAUCAUAAUUUCAACAAUUAAAAGAUUUGAUUAGUUUAUUUCACAUGAAUAUAACAACGCGCAAGAAAAGAAAUAAUAAUAACUAAUAAUAAAUAAGGGAGGUGUGCACUGCUCAAAAGAAAAUUUAAUGGAUAAAUAUUUAUAUAGGUUUUUUAUUUUAAUAUGCAAUUUGAUAAAUAAAUUUUGAAUUGUAGUUUAUAUAUACGCAUAAAAUUUUAAUUUUGAUUCAAUUAUACACAAGUAGAAAAAUAAGAGCAUAUAUUUAUUUUCA